GCCUGGCUGGCUCAGUCGGUAGAGCAUGAGACUCUUGAUCUUGGGGUCAUGAGUUUGAGCCCCAUGUUGGGGG
rnacentral:tRNA from 1 species